GGUGGAGUGAGGGCGGACCGGCCCUGGUGGGGGCCGCAGUCGAGGUCCGCAGUCUCCUCGGGGUCGAAAUCGGGCAUCAGCGCCGUUUAGAGAACACCGUCCUGCUGGGCAUGGCCGGGAUGCGAAGAUGGCCCUGCAACGCACCUCCUAGAAUUUGGUUACCUAGAAAACCAUGUGGAAUAAAACGACGAGGCUUAUGAUAUUUAAAAGACUUCUGCAUCGAAUUGGUGUUAUCAUAAGGGUUAUUUUAAUAACUGGCAUUCUCUAAGUUUCUACACGUGUUGGGGGAUGCAGUGCCGUGCCACAUUUCCCGUCUCCAGCAAGCGCAGUCAGAUUGGCGACAUCGCAGGCAAGAGGCAGGGCUGGGGCUCCCACCCGAGAAGUAAUUGUCUCCAAAGUUGGACUUUUGCCACUGGUUCUGCGACUUCAUGCAAUGCCAGGGAGAGCCCCUUGAUUUCCCCCAAAUCCUCAUCAGCCUCUUUCCACCCAAGCCCAGAUGAACAGUACUCAUCUACUCACCUGAGGAUUAUGAGGAUUAUGAGUUUUAUGGAGCAAAAUUUGCCUAGAAC
rnacentral:lncRNA from 1 species